GGGACCGUGGGGUAGCUUGGUAACCUCUGAGCCUUGGGUGCUCAAGCCCCUAGUUCAAAUCUGGGCGGUCCCA
rnacentral:tRNA from 1 species